rnacentral:rRNA from 1 species
AGUGAACGCUGGCGGCAGGCCUAACACAUGCCAGUCGAACGGCAGCACAAGAGAGCUUGCUCCCUGGGUGGCGAGUGGCGGACGGGUGAGGAAUGCAUCGGAAUCUGCCCAUUUGUGGGGGAUAACCUCGGGAAACCGGGACUAAUACCGCAUACGACCUACGGGUGAAAGCAGGGGAUCUUCGGACCUUGCGCAGAUGGAUGAGCCGAUGCCGGAUUAGCUAGUUGGAGGGGUAAAGGCCCACCAAGGCGACGAUCCGUAGCUGGUCUGAGAGGAUGAUCAGCCACACUGGGACUGAGACACGGCCCAGACUCCUACGGGAGGCAGCAGUGGGGAAUAUUGGACAAUGGGCGCAAGCCUGAUCCAGCCAUGCCGCGUGUGUGAAGAAGGCCUUCGGGUUGUAAAGCACUUUUGUUGGGAAAGAAAAGCAGCCGGUUAAUACCCGGUUGUCAUGACGGUACCCAAAGAAUAAGCACCGGCUAACUUCGUG